GUCCACGCCGUAAACGAUGAGUGCUAGAUGCUGUGGGUAUUGACCCCCGCGGUGUAGCAGCCAACGCGUUAAGCACUCCGCCUGGGGAGUACGGCCGCAAGGCUAAAACUACAAAGGAAUUGACGGGGGCCCGCACAAGCGGUGGAGCAUGUGGUUCAAUUCGACGCAACGCGCAGAACCUUACCUGGGUUAAAUCCACUCAGACAUUGCAGAGAUGUAGGGGUGCCCUUCGGGGAAUGAGUGAGAAGGUGCUGCAUGGCUGUCGU
rnacentral:rRNA from 1 species